GGGGUUGACUGGAUUUGACGGCGAGAUGAAAUGGUACGUAAGCAUGCGGAGGCUCGUUGGCUACCUCCUUAAUCCUAGUGAACAAAAAAUUAAUUGGCGAAAAUAACUACGCUCUCGCUGCCUAGUCGAAGUAUAGUAAACUAGCUUUAUUCCAGCACAGGGUGCUGGAACGAGACAUCGCUCAACGGAUGUUGUUCCGAAUCUUGUUGAUCAAGCGGUGCAGGUAAAUCGGAAAUAGUUCAUGUACGCCUCGUUGCAUGGAUGAAAUUUUAGAGGAUAAGGGUAUGAUUGGUGGUCCAGGUCCUGUCAUGCCUCGAAAACCGAAGGCUGGAAUAAGCAUGUAGAAAGCGUAUGGUUUCCUUGUGCGGACGAGGGUUCGAUUCCCUCCAGCUCCACCC
rfam:Prevotella copri CAG:164 genomic scaffold, scf246